rnacentral:sRNA from 1 species
UGACGUGAUAUCGAUGUUGUUUACAUGC